rnacentral:rRNA from 2 species
AUUGAUUUUGGUCGCCAACGAGUGGCGGACGGGUGAGUAACACGUAGGUAACCUGCCCAGAAGCGGGGGACAACAUUUGGAAACAGAUGCUAAUACCGCAUAACAGCGUUGUUCGCAUGAACAACGCUUAAAAGAUGGCUUCUCGCUAUCACUUCUGGAUGGACCUGCGGUGCAUUAGCUUGUUGGUGGGGUAACGGCCUACCAAGGCGAUGAUGCAUAGCCGAGUUGAGAGACUGAUCGGCCACAAUGGGACUGAGACACGGCCCAUACUCCUACGGGAGGCAGCAGUAGGGAAUCUUCCACAAUGGGCGCAAGCCUGAUGGAGCAACACCGCGUGAGUGAAGAAGGGUUUCGGCUCGUAAAGCUCUGUUGUUAAAGAAGAACACGUAUGAGAGUAACUGUUCAUACGUUGACGGUAUUUAACCAGAAAGUCACGGCUAACUACGUGCCAGCAGCCGCGGUAAUACGUAGGUGGCAAGCGUUAUCCGGAUUUAUUGGGCGUAAAGAGAGUGCAGGCGGUUUUCUAAGUCUGAUGUGAAAGCCUUCGGCUUAACCGGAGAAGUGCAUCGGAAACUGGAUAACUUGAGUGCAGAAGAGGGUAGUGGAACUCCAUGUGUAGCGGUGGAAUGCGUAGAUAUAUGGAAGAACACCAGUGGCGAAGGCGGCUACCUGGUCUGCAACUGACGCUGAGACUCGAAAGCAUGGGUAGCGAACAGGAUUAGAUACCCUGGUAGUCCAUGCCGUAAACGAUGAGUGCUAGGUGUUGGAGGGUUUCCGCCCUUCAGUGCCGGAGCUAACGCAUUAAGCACUCCGCCUGGGGAGUACGACCGCAAGGUUGAAACUCAAAGGAAUUGACGGGGGCCCGCACAAGCGGUGGAGCAUGUGGUUUAAUUCGAAGCUACGCGAAGAACCUUACCAGGUCUUGACAUCUUGCGCCAACCCUAGAGAUAGGGCGUUUCCUUCGGGAACGCAAUGACAGGUGGUGCAUGGUCGUCGUCAGCUCGUGUCGUGAGAUGUUGGGUUAAGUCCCGCAACGAGCGCAACCCUUGUUACUAGUUGCCAGCAUUAAGUUGGGCACUCUAGUGAGACUGCCGGUGACAAACCGGAGGAAGGUGGGGACGACGUCAGAUCAUCAUGCCCCUUAUGACCUGGGCUACACACGUGCUACAAUGGACGGUACAACGAGUCGCGAACUCGCGAGGGCAAGCAAAUCUCUUAAAACCGUUCUCAGUUCGGACUGCAGGCUGCAACUCGCCUGCACGAAGUCGGAAUCGCUAGUAAUCGCGGAUCAGCAUGCCGCGGUGAAUACGUUCCCGGGCCUUGUACACACCGCCCGUCACACCAUGAGAGUUU